CCACCAAACGCAAUCACGACAUGCAGGUUCAAAUAUCAAAACGAACUCGGAACCAAUUACAUUAAUUUGGGGACAGGUGGAAAAGCUUUAAACAUGUAUGGCAUUUAGCUAGCUAGCUUGCACAUGCUAGCUAAUUUGUCCUAUUUAGCUAGCUUGCUGUUGCUAGCUAAUUUGUCCUGGGAUAUAAACAUUGAGUUGUUAUUUUACCUGAAAUGCACAAGGUCCUCUACUCUGACAAUUAAUACACACAUAAAACGGUCAUCCAAAUCGUUUCUAGUCAUCUCUCCUCCUUCCAGGGUUUUUCAUCUUUGAACUUAUAUGGUGAUUGGCAUCUAAACCUUCAUAGGAUUACCACGAUGACCGGCAAAACAGUUAGUCUUUCAAUCAUCCACGUGGGUAUAACCAAUGAGGAGAUGGCAUGUGGGUACCUGCUUCUAUAAACCAAUGAGGAGUUGGGAGAGGCAGGACUUGCAGUGCGAUCUGUGUCAGAAAUGUAAUUUUAGCCCUUAGCAACAUAGUUGCUUGUUGGCACGCGCGAGCAGUGGGGGUGCAAUAAUUGAAUAACAUGGAUUUCUAAAUGUAUUUUGCAACGCGACGUGUCCGGUCUGGUCAGCAUGUAAUACCCUGACUACAUCACUCACGCACGUGUUGCAAAAUAAAUAAGAUAAGGCGAAGCUUUACCUAACAAAGACUUAUAGAUGACCUGGAGCCAAUGGGUCUGGCGACUAAUAUGUAGCGAGGGCCAGCCGAUUGGAGCAUACAGGUCACAGUGGUGGGUGGUAUAUAGGGCUUUGGUGACAACGGAUGGCACUGUGAUAGACUGCAUCCAGUUUGCUGAGUAGUGUUGAAGGCUAUUUUGUAAAUGACAUCGCUGAAGUCGAGGAUGGGUAGGAUAGUCAGUUUCCAUCCCAGAGCUAGCGCAUCUAAUUCAACUUGUCAACUAAUCAUCAAGCCCUUGACUAGGUGAAUCAUUUGAAAUAGUUCAUGGCUAAAACAUUGAAACAUCUGGGGUAGAGGUCGACCGAUUAAUCGGAAUGGCCCGAUUAAUUAGGGCCAAUUUCAAGUUUUCAUAACAAUCGGAAAUCUGUAUUUUUGGGCGCCGAUUUUUUUUAAAUGUUUUUUUUUUUACACCUUUAUUUAACUAGGCAAGUCAGUUAAGAACACAUUCUUAUUUUCAAUAACGGCCUAGGAACGGGGCAGAACGACAGAUUUUUACCUCGUCAGCUUGGGGGAUCCAAUCUUGCAACCUUACAGUUAACUAGACCAACGCUCUAACCACCUGAUUACAUUGUACUCCACGAGGAGCCUGGCUGUUACGCGAAUGCAGUAAGCCAAGAUGGCAGAGAAAAGCAGAGCACCAGUGUGGGACUAUUACAUGGAAUUGGCACCUGGGAAAGCAAGGUGUCUUAUUUGUGAUAAAGAUGUAAGCAUGGGGUCAGCAACGGUUAAUCAAAAAAUACCACCAACCUGUGGAAUCACCUUAAGAACACCCAUCCAAAAGCCCAUAAUAUGUAUUAUAUUAAGUUAAAAUAAAAGUGUUCAUUCAG